rnacentral:rRNA from 1 species
GAACUUAAGCAUAUCAAUAAGCGGAGGAAAAGAAACCAACAGGGAUUGCCUCAGUAACGGCGAGUGAAGCGGCAACAGCUCAAAUUUGAAAUCUGACCCCUGCGGGGCCCGAGUUGUAAUUUGUAGAGGGUGUUUCGGGCGCGGCGCCGGUCUAAGUUCCUUGGAACAGGACGUCGCAGAGGGUGAGAAUCCCGUAUGUGACCGGUGAUCAAGCCCAUGUGAAGCCCCUUCGACGAGUCGAGUUGUUUGGGAAUGCAGCUCAAAAUGGGUGGUAAAUUCCAUCUAAAGCUAAAUAUUGGCCGGAGACCGAUAGCGGACAAGUAGAGUGAUCGAAAGAUGAAAAGCACUUUGGAAAGAGAGUUAAACAGUACGUGAAAUUGUUGAAAGGGAAGCGCUUGCAAUCAGACCGGUCCGGGGGUGAUCAGCCGCUGCUCGUCAGCUGGUGCACUCGCCCCCGAUCCGGCCAGCAUCGGUUUGGGCGGUGGGAUAAAAGCCCCGGGAAUGUAGCUUCUUUCGGGGAGUCUUAUAGCCCGGGGUGCAAUGCUGCCCGCCUGGACCGAGGACCGCGCUUCGGCUAGGAUGCUGGCGUAAUGGUUGCAAGCGACCCGUCUUGAAACACGGACCAAGGAGUCUAACAUCUAUGCGAGUGUUUGGGUGUCAAACCCAGGCGCGGAAUGAAAGUGAACGGAGGUGGGAGCCUGUCAAACGGUGCACCAUCGACCGAUCCAGAUGUCUUCGGAUGGAUUUGAGUAUGAGCAUAGCUGUUGGGACCCGAAAGGUACGUUCCGUUUUCUGUCAUUCCCGGACAUGCGUUUGUUUUUUUUUUAUUUUUUAGACAUGCUAACAAUGAGAUAGAUGGUGAACUAUGCCCGGAUAGGGUGAAGCCAGAGGAAACUCUGGUGGAGGCUCGCAGCGGUUCUGACGUGCAAAUCGAUCGUCAAAUCUAGGCAUAGGGGCGAAAGACCAAUCGAACCAUCUAGUAGCUGGUUCCUGUCGAAGUUUCCCUCAGGAUAGCAGUAACGUUUUCAGUUUUAUGAGGUAAAGCGAAUGAUUAGAGGCCUUGGGGCUGAAACAGCCUUAACCUAUUCUCAAACUUUAAAUAUGUAAGAAGUCCUUGUUACUUAGUUGAACGUGGACAUUUGAAUGCACCGUUACUAGUGGGCCAUUUUUGGUAAGCAGAACUGGCGAUGCGGGAUGAACCGAACGCGAGGUUAAGGUGCCGGAAUGCACGCUCAUCAGACACCACAAAAAGUGUCAAUUCAUCCAGACAGCCGGACGGUGGCCAUGGAAGUCGGAACCCGCUAAGGAGUGUGUAACAACUCACCGGCCGAAUGAAUUGGCCUUGAAAAUGGAUGGCGCUCAAGCGUGCUACCCAUACCUCGCCGCCAGGGUAGACACGAUGCCCUGGCGAGUAGGCAGGCGUGGGGGUCCGUGACGAAGCCUUGGGAGUGAUCCCGGGUCGAACGGCCUCCAGUGCAGAUCUUGGUGGUAGUAGCAAAUACUCAAAUGAGAACUUUGAGGACUGAAGUGGGGAAAGGUUCCAUGUGAACAGCAGUUGGACAUGGGUUAGUCGAUCCUAAGAGAUAGGGAAACUCCGUUUCAAAGCGCGCACUCGUGCGCCGUCCCUCG